CUUCUUGUGCUCUGGGAUUGU
rnacentral:miRNA from 1 species